AAAAAAGGUAAGCUACUAAGAGCGAAUGGUGGAUGCCUUGACUGGUAAAGGCGAUGAAGGACGUACUAGACUGCGAUAAGCUACGGGGAGCUGUCAAGAAGCUUUGAUCCGUAGAUUUCCGAAUGGGGCAACCCAAUGUAUAGAGAUAUACAUUACCUAUAUAGGAGCGAACGAGGGGAAUUGAAACAUCUUAGUACCCUCAGGAAAAGAAAUCAAUAGAGAUUGCGUCAGUAGCGGCGAGCGAAAGCGCAAGAGGGCAAACCCAGUGCUUGCACUGGGGGUUGUAGGACUGCAAUGUGCAAGAGGUAAGUUUAGCAGAACAUUCUGGAAAGUAUAACCAUAGAGGGUGAUAGUCCCGUAUGCGAAAAACAAACCUUAGCUAGCAGUAUCCUGAGUAGGGCGGGACACGAGGAAUCCUGUCUGAAUCCGGGUCGACCACGAUCCAACCCUAAAUACUAAUACCAGAUCGAUAGUGCACAAGUACCGUGAGGGAAAGGUGAAAAGAACUGAGGUGAUCAGAGUGAAAUAGAACCUGAAACCAUUUGCUUACAAUCAUUCAGAGCCCUAUGUAGCAAUACAGGGUGAUGGACUGCCUUUUGCAUAAUGAGCCUGCGAGUUGUGGUGUCUGGCAAGGUUAAGCAAACGCGAAGCCGUAGCGAAAGCGAGUCUGAAUAGGGCGCUUAGUCAGAUGCUGCAGACCCGAAACGAAGUGAUCUAUCCAUGAGCAAGUUGAAGCUAGUGUAAGAACUAGUGGAGGACUGAACCCAUAGGCGUUGAAAAGCCCCGGGAUGACUUGUGGAUAGGGGUGAAAGGCCAAUCAAACUUCGUGAUAGCUGGUUCUCUCCGAAAUAUAUUUAGGUAUAGCGUUGUGUCGUAAUAUAAGGGGGUAGAGCACUGAAUGGGCUAGGGCAUACACCAAUGUACCAAACCCUAUCAAACUCCGAAUACCUUAUAUGUAAUCACAGCAGUCAGGCGGCGAGUGAUAAAAUCCGUCGUCAAGAGGGAAACAACCCAGACUACCAGCUAAGGUCCCUAAAUCUUACUUAAGUGGAAAACGAUGUGAAGUUACUUAAACAACCAGGAGGUUGGCUUAGAAGCAGCCAUCCUUUAAAGAAAGCGUAAUAGCUCACUGGUCUAGUGAUUUUGCGCGGAAAAUAUAACGGGGCUAAAGUAAGUACCGAAGCUGUAGACUUGCACACAACUUAGAUUAUUUAAGUUUAGAAUAUGAGAAACUAAGUUAUAUGUUUAGUUAUAUUUUUACUGAUUUUUAUAGAGUAAAGAUAGAAAUAAAACUUAGUAAAAUCAGUAAAAAUAUUCUUAGACUAAAGUUAAGUAGUUUAAGUUGUGUGCAAGUGGUAGGAGAGCGUUCUAUUUGCGUCGAAGGUAUACCGGUAAGGAGUGCUGGAGCGAAUAGAAGUGAGCAUGCAGGCAUGAGUAGCGAUAAUUAAUGUGAGAAUCAUUAACGCCGUAAACCCAAGGUUUCCUACGCGAUGCUCGUCAUCGUAGGGUUAGUCGGGUCCUAAGUCGAGUCCGAAAGGGGUAGACGAUGGCAAAUUGGUUAAUAUUCCAAUACCAACAUUAGUGUGCGAUGGAAGGACGCUUAGGGCUAAGGGGGCUAGCGGAUGGAAGUGCUAGUCUAAGGUCGUAGGAGGUUAUACAGGCAAAUCCGUAUAACAAUACUCCGAGAACUGAAAGGCUUUUUGAAGUCUUCGGAUGGAUAGAAGAACCCCUGAUGCCGUCGAGCCAAGAAAAGUUUCUAAGUUUAGCUAAUGUUGCCCGUACCGUAAACCGACACAGGUGGGUGGGAUGAGUAUUCUAAGGCGCGUGGAAGAACUCUCUUUAAGGAACUCUGCAAAAUAGCACCGUAUCUUCGGUAUAAGGUGUGGUUAGCUUUGUAUUAGGAUUUACUCCGAAAGCAAGGAAACUUACAACAAAGAGUCCCUCCCGACUGUUUACCAAAAACACAGCACUCUGCUAACUCGUAAGAGGAUGUAUAGGGUGUGACGCCUGCCCGGUGCUCGAAGGUUAAUUGAUGGGGUUAGCAUUAGCGAAGCUCUUGAUCGAAGCCCGAGUAAACGGCGGCCGUAACUAUAACGGUCCUAAGGUAGCGAAAUUCCUUGUCGGUUAAAUACCGACCUGCAUGAAUGGCGUAACGAGAUGGGAGCUGUCUCAAAGAGGGAUCCAGUGAAAUUGUAGUGGAGGGGAAAAUUCCUCCUACCCGCGGCAAGACGGAAAGACCCCGUGGACCUUUACUACAGCUUGACACUGCUACUUGGAUAAGAAUGUGCAGGAUAGGUGGGAGGCUUUGAGUAUAUGACGCCAGUUGUAUAUGAGCCAUUGUUGAGAUACCACUCUUUCUUAUUUGGGUAGCUAACCAGCUUGAGUUAUCCUCAAGUGGGACAAUGUCUGGUGGGUAGUUUGACUGGGGCGGUCGCCUCCCAAAUAAUAACGGAGGCUUACAAAGGUUGGCUCAGAACGGUUGGAAAUCGUUCGU
rnacentral:rRNA from 1 species